AAAUUGAAGAGUUUGAUCAUGGCUCAGAUUGAACGCUGGCGGCAGGCCUAACACAUGCAAGUCGAACGGUAACAGGAAGCAGCUUGCUGCUUUGCUGACGAGUGGCGGACGGGUGAGUAAUGUCUGGGAAACUGCCUGAUGGAGGGGGAUAACUACUGGAAACGGUAGCUAAUACCGCAUAACGUCGCAAGACCAAAGAGGGGGACCUUCGGGCCUCUUGCCAUCGGAUGUGCCCAGAUGGGAUUAGCUAGUAGGUGGGGUAAAGGCUCACCUAGGCGACGAUCCCUAGCUGGUCUGAGAGGAUGACCAGCCACACUGGAACUGAGACACGGUCCAGACUCCUACGGGAGGCAGCAGUGGGGAAUAUUGCACAAUGGGCGCAAGCCUGAUGCAGCCAUGCCGCGUGUAUGAAGAAGGCCUUCGGGUUGUAAAGUACUUUCAGCGGGGAGGAAGGGAG
rnacentral:rRNA from 1 species